UACGUAGGGUGCGAGCGUUAAUCGGAAUUACUGGGCGUAAAGCGCGCGCAGGCGGUCAUCUGCGUCCGGGGUGAAAACCCAGAGCUCAACUCUGGGACUGCCUUGGAUACGGGGUGACUUGAGGAUCGGAGAGGCAAGGGGAAUUCCCCGUGUAGCGGUGAAAUGCGUAGAGAUGUGGAGGAACACCUGCGGCGAAGGCGGGUUGCUGGGCUGAUACUGACGCUGAGGCGCGAAAGCCAGGGGAGCGAACGGG
rnacentral:rRNA from 1 species